AUGUUGAUUGUACCGAAUGAAGGAUUUGCCUUAUCACGAAAGCCACAUUCGUUUCGUUUGAGGAAGUCACACGUCCUGUUCCCUAUAAAUAAGGAGAUUCAUUCUUUUUUUCAGAAAUCCCCUCUUCUUCCUCCUCAAGCCCCUAUCACAAGACCAAGCGGAUCUCAUCCCGCAGAAGACUCAGAGCAGAUCUAUCUAAUGGCAUGGCUGGCUGCCGGAUUCCCUUUCACUUAA
rnacentral:rRNA from 1 species